UUUUAAAUUAUAGGAAAAAAAGGAUGUCUAGGUACUUUAAGACGAUGAAGGACGUAAAAAAUAUAUAUAUACGAAAAACUUAUUUAUAGCUUAUAUACUUUAAAUAAGAUCUCCGAAUAGGGAAACCUUUUAAUAUUUUUUAAAUUAAAAAUGAUUUACUUGAGGAACUGAAUCAUCUUAGUACUCAAAGGAAAAGAAAAUAACAAUUAUUCCCUUAGUAGUGGCGAACGAGUAGGGAUAAGAAACGUUAGACGUUUAGUUUAAAUAAAAAUAAAAUAAAGUAAAUAUAAACAACUGGUUUAUAUUGAAGAAACAAGAACUUCCUUGUAAAACUAAAUACUUUAAAGUAACCGAUAGUGUACUAGUACCGUGAGGGAAAGAUGAAAAGAACCCCGGGAGGGGAGUGAAAAGAGACUGAAAUUUUAAUCCUAACAACAAUAGAAGGGUAUAUGAACCUAACUAUUUGCCUGUUGAAGAAGGAACCGAUAAGUUUUGGUUUUUAAGCAAAAGGCUAAAAUUAAACUUGAAGCCAUAGUGAAAACGAGUUAUUACGAUUAGUAAUAGCGUUUGUAUAUAACCAAAAACCCGAAUCCAAUUGAUAUAACCUUGUUCAGAAUGAAAUAUAAAUAACUUUAUAUAGAAGUUCGAACUGAUUAAUGCUGCAAAAUUAUCAGAAGAAAUGAGGUUAGUUGUGAAAUGCUUGUCGAAUUUGGAGCUAGCUGGUUCUCCCCGAAAUGUAUUGAGGCGCAGCUAUUAUAAUAUAUAUAAAAAGGGUAAAGCACUGUUUUUAAAAUCACUAUAAACUAAUAAUAUUUUUAUAUUAACAUUAUAAUAAGUGAGACUUUUAGGGAUAAUCUUAUAAGUCAAAAGGGAAACAACCCAGACCAUAAACUAAGAUAAAAAUAUAACGAAAAUUUUAAAGGAUGUGGAGUUGUUACGUAUACAACCAGAAGGUUAGCUUAGAAGCAGUUUUCCUUUAAAAAGUGCGUAAAAGCUUACUGGUAAAGUAAUUCUGCACCUAAAAUGAACAAUAAAAUAUUUUUUUAUCGAAGUAAUGGGAUCUAUUAAUUAAAAAUAGAUCGGUAGGGGAGCGUUCUACAUUAAAAUAAAGCAAAGUUAUUAAAUUUUGUGAAUAAAGUAGAAGUGAGAAUGUCGGUUUAAGUAACUUAAAUAUUAAGAAGAAUCUAAUACCUCAAAAACUCAAAAGGUUCCUAUGAAAGGAUAAACCGCAUAGGGUUAGUCGGGGCCUAAGAUAAGAAAUUUAUUGUAAUUGAUGGGAAUCAAGUUAAUAU
rnacentral:ncRNA from 1 species